CCUGCACAGGUGCUGCAUGGCUGUCGUCAGCUCGUGUCGUGAGAUGUCCGGUUAAGUCCGGUAACGAGCGCAACCCUCACUGUGUGUUAUACGUGUCACACGGGACUGCCGGUAUCAAGCCGGAGGAAGGUGGGGAUGACGUCAAGUCAGCAUGGCCUUUAUGUCUGGGGCUACACACACGCUACAAUGGCCAGUACAAUAGGUUGCAAGACCGCGAGGUGGAGCCAAUCCUAAAAGCUGGUCUCAGUUCGGAUUGCAGGCUGCAACCCGCCUGCAUGAAGUCGGAGUUGCUAGUAACCGCGCGUCAGCUAUAGUGCGGUGAAUACGUUCCCGGGCCUU
rnacentral:rRNA from 1 species